UUAAGCGACUAAGCGUACACGGUGGAUGCCCUGGCAGUCAGAGGCGAUGAAGGACGUGCUAAUCUGCGAUAAGCGUCGGUAAGGUGAUAUGAACCGUUAUAACCGGCGAUUUCCGAAUGGGGAAACCCAGUGUGUUUCGACACACUAUCAUUAACUGAAUCCAUAGGUUAAUGAGGCGAACCGGGGGAACUGAAACAUCUAAGUACCCCGAGGAAAAGAAAUCAACCGAGAUUCCCCCAGUAGCGGCGAGCGAACGGGGAGCAGCCCAGAGCCUGAAUCAGUGUGUGUGUUAGUGGAAGCGUCUGGAAAGGCGUGCGAUACAGGGUGACAGCCCCGUACACAAAAAUGCACAUAUUGUGAGCUCGAUGAGUAGGGCGGGACACGUGGUAUCCUGUCUGAAUAUGGGGGGACCAUCCUCCAAGGCUAAAUACUCCUGACUGACCGAUAGUGAACCAGUACCGUGAGGGAAAGGCGAAAAGAACCCCGGCGAGGGGAGUGAAAAAGAACCUGAAACCGUGUACGUACAAGCAGUGGGAGCACGCUUAGGCGUGUGACUGCGUACCUUUUGUAUAAUGGGUCAGCGACUUAUAUUCUGUAGCAAGGUUAACCGAAUAGGGGAGCCGAAGGGAAACCGAGUCUUAACUGGGCGUUAAGUUGCAGGGUAUAGACCCGAAACCCGGUGAUCUAGCCAUGGGCAGGUUGAAGGUUGGGUAACACUAACUGGAGGACCGAACCGACUAAUGUUGAAAAAUUAGCGGAUGACUUGUGGCUGGGGGUGAAAGGCCAAUCAAACCGGGAGAUAGCUGGUUCUCCCCGAAAGCUAUUUAGGUAGCGCCUCGUGAAUUCAUCUCCGGGGGUAGAGCACUGUUUCGGCAAGGGGGUCAUCCCGACUUACCAACCCGAUGCAAACUGCGAAUACCGGAGAAUGUUAUCACGGGAGACACACGGCGGGUGCUAACGUCCGUCGUGAAGAGGGAAACAACCCAGACCGCCAGCUAAGGUCCCAAAGUCAUGGUUAAGUGGGAAACGAUGUGGGAAGGCCCAGACAGCCAGGAUGUUGGCUUAGAAGCAGCCAUCAUUUAAAGAAAGCGUAAUAGCUCACUGGUCGAGUCGGCCUGCGCGGAAGAUGUAACGGGGCUAAACCAUGCACCGAAGCUGCGGCAGCGACGCUUAUGCGUUGUUGGGUAGGGGAGCGUUCUGUAAGCCUGUGAAGGUGUGCUGUGAGGCAUGCUGGAGGUAUCAGAAGUGCGAAUGCUGACAUAAGUAACGAUAAAGCGGGUGAAAAGCCCGCUCGCCGGAAGACCAAGGGUUCCUGUCCAACGUUAAUCGGGGCAGGGUGAGUCGACCCCUAAGGCGAGGCCGAAAGGCGUAGUCGAUGGGAAACAGGUUAAUAUUCCUGUACUUGGUGUUACUGCGAAGGGGGGACGGAGAAGGCUAUGUUGGCCGGGCGACGGUUGUCCCGGUUUAAGCGUGUAGGCUGGUUUUCCAGGCAAAUCCGGAAAAUCAAGGCUGAGGCGUGAUGACGAGGCACUACGGUGCUGAAGCAACAAAUGCCCUGCUUCCAGGAAAAGCCUCUAAGCAUCAGGUAACAUCAAAUCGUACCCCAAACCGACACAGGUGGUCAGGUAGAGAAUACCAAGGCGCUUGAGAGAACUCGGGUGAAGGAACUAGGCAAAAUGGUGCCGUAACUUCGGGAGAAGGCACGCUGAUAUGUAGGUGAAGUCCCUUGCGGAUGGAGCUGAAAUCAGUCGAAGAUACCAGCUGGCUGCAACUGUUUAUUAAAAACACAGCACUGUGCAAACACGAAAGUGGACGUAUACGGUGUGACGCCUGCCCGGUGCCGGAAGGUUAAUUGAUGGGGUCAGCGCAAGCGAAGCUCUUGAUCGAAGCCCCGGUAAACGGCGGCCGUAACUAUAACGGUCCUAAGGUAGCGAAAUUCCUUGUCGGGUAAGUUCCGACCUGCACGAAUGGCGUAAUGAUGGCCAGGCUGUCUCCACCCGAGACUCAGUGAAAUUGAACUCGCUGUGAAGAUGCAGUGUACCCGCGGCAAGACGGAAAGACCCCGUGAACCUUUACUAUAGCUUGACACUGAACAUUGAGCCUUGAUGUGUAGGAUAGGUGGGAGGCUUUGAAGUGUGGACGCCAGUCUGCAUGGAGCCGACCUUGAAAUACCACCCUUUAAUGUUUGAUGUUCUAACGUUGACCCGUAAUCCGGGUUGCGGACAGUGUCUGGUGGGUAGUUUGACUGGGGCGGUCUCCUCCUAAAGAGUAACGGAGGAGCACGAAGGUUGGCUAAUCCUGGUCGGACAUCAGGAGGUUAGUGCAAUGGCAUAAGCCAGCUUGACUGCGAGCGUGACGGCGCGAGCAGGUGCGAAAGCAGGUCAUAGUGAUCCGGUGGUUCUGAAUGGAAGGGCCAUCGCUCAACGGAUAAAAGGUACUCCGGGGAUAACAGGCUGAUACCGCCCAAGAGUUCAUAUCGACGGCGGUGUUUGGCACCUCGAUGUCGGCUCAUCACAUCCUGGGGCUGAAGUAGGUCCCAAGGGUAUGGCUGUUCGCCAUUUAAAGUGGUACGCGAGCUGGGUUUAGAACGUCGUGAGACAGUUCGGUCCCUAUCUGCCGUGGGCGCUGGAGAACUGAGGGGGGCUGCUCCUAGUACGAGAGGACCGGAGUGGACGCAUCACUGGUGUUCGGGUUGUCAUGCCAAUGGCACUGCCCGGUAGCUAAAUGCGGAAGAGAUAAGUGCUGAAAGCAUCUAAGCACGAAACUUGCCCCGAGAUGAGUUCUCCCUGACCCUUUAAGGGUCCUGAAGGAACGUUGAAGACGACGACGUUGAUAGGCCGGGUGUGUAAGCGCAGCGAUGCGUUGAGCUAACCGGUACUAAUGAACCGUGAGGCUUAACCUU
rnacentral:rRNA from 1 species